ensembl:snoRNA SNORD33 Small nucleolar RNA Z195/SNORD33/SNORD32 family
AAUGUCAGUGAUGAUUUUUCUAUAAAAUUAUUUGAGUUUUACUGCAAUGAGAAUACUUUUACAUGCACUACCAUCUGAGACAAC